rnacentral:rRNA from 1 species
AGUCGUACGAGAGUUUUUAACUCAAGUGGCGGACGGGUGAGUAACACGUAAGAAUUUGCCUCUAGGAGGGGGAUAACAACUGGAAACGGUUGCUAAUACCCCAUAUGCUUUCGAGUGAAAUGGAUUUCCGCCUAGAGAGAAGCUUGCGGCUGAUUAGCUUGUUGGUGAGGUAAUGGCUCACCAAGGCGACGAUCAGUAUCUGGUUUGAGAGGACGAUCAGACACACUGGAACUGAGACACGGUCCAGACUCCUACGGGAGGCAGCAGUGGGGAAUUUUCCGCAAUGGGCGAAAGCCUGACGGAGCAAUACCGCGUGAGGGAUGACGGCCUAUGGGUUGUAAACCUCUUUUUUCAGGGAGGAAUCAAUGACGUGUACCUGAAGAAUAAGCAUCGGCUAACUCCGUGCCAGCAGCCGCGGUAAGACGGAGGAUGCAAGUGUUAUCCGGAAUCACUGGGCGUAAAGCGUCUGUAGGUGGUUUAAUAAGUCAACUGUUAAAUCUUGAGGCUCAACCUCAAAAUCGCAGUCGAAACUAUUAGACUAGAGUAUAGUAGGGUAAAGGGAAUUUCC